UGUGUGCCUUGGUAGUCUCAGAGUCACUGACGAGUUUGAUCCUGGCUCAGAACGAACGCUGGCGGCAGGCCUAACACAUGCAGGUCGAGCGAGGACUUCGGUCCUAGCGGCGGACGGGUGAGUAACGCGUGGGAACGUGCCCUUUGGUACGGAAUAGCCCCGGGAAACUGGGAGUAAUACCGUAUGGUGUCUUCGGACUAAAGAUUUAUCGCCAAAGGAUCGGCCCGCGUUGGAUUAGGUAGUUGGUGGGGUAAUGGCCUACCAAGCCGACGAUCCAUAGCUGGUUUGAGAGGAUGAUCAGCCACACUGGGACUGAGACACGGCCCAGACUCCUACGGGAGGCAGCAGUGGGGAAUCUUAGACAAUGGGGGCAACCCUGAUCUAGCCAUGCCGCGUGAGUGAUGAAGGCCCUAGGGUUGUAAAGCUCUUUCAGCUGGGAAGAUAAUGACGGUACCAGCAGAAGAAGCCCCGGCUAACUCCGUG
rnacentral:rRNA from 1 species